rnacentral:rRNA from 1 species
GACGAACCGUGCGAACGUUAUUCGGAAUCACUGGGCUUAAAGGGCGCGUAGGCGGGUCAUCAAGUCCGGGGUGAAAGCCCACGGCCCAACCGUGGAAGUGCCUUGGAUACUGAAGACCUCGAGGGGGAUAGGGGCGUGCGGAACUCAGGGUGGAGCGGUGAAAUGCGUAGAUAUCCUGAGGAACACCGGUGGCGAAAGCGGCGCGCUGGAUCCCUUCUGACGCUGAGGCGCGAAAGCCAGGGGAGCAAAGCGGG